GCCGCACAAAGUCGAAGGGAUCUCGGGAGAGUUGGCCUCUUAUGAACUUCGGCUCGGGGUAUUUUAUACCCAACAAUAACCAUACAUCAGUAGGUUCUAGAAGGUUGCUUUGCAACCUUCGACACAUCCAGUCAUUGGGUCAUCAUUGCUAGAUGGUUACAUUGAUUGGUAUGAAAAGUUAUUUCUAUGCUACCAGCUUGUGUUCAAACC
rnacentral:lncRNA from 1 species